rnacentral:rRNA from 1 species
AGCAGCCGCGGUAAUUCCAGCUCCAAUAGCGUAUAUUAAAGUUGUUGCAGUUAAAAAGCUCGUAGUUGAAUUUCGGGAUUAAUUUACUGGUCGUGCUAUUGUACGUACUGGUUUUAUUGAUUCCUCCCUUCUGACGAACUAUGAUGCCAUUAAUUUGGUGUCAUAGGGAAUCAGGACUGUUACUUUGAAAAAAUUAGAGUGUUUAAAGCAGGCUCACGCUUGAAUACAUUAGCAUGGAAUAACGGAAUAGGACGUUUGAUUCUAUUUUGUUGGUUUCUAGGAUCGACGUAAUGAUUAAUAGGGAUAGUUGGGGGCAUUAGUAUUCAAUUGUCAGAGGUGAAAUUCUUGGAUUUAUUGAAGACUAACUACUGCGAAAGCAUUUGCCAAGGAUGUUUUCAUUAAUCAAGAACGAAAGUUAGGGGAUCGAAGACGAUCAGAUACCGUCGUAGUCUUAACCAUAAACUAUGCCGACUAGGGAUCGGAUGAUGUUAAUUUUUUAAUGACUCA